rnacentral:rRNA from 1 species
ACNGGUAGCCGNCCUGAGAGGGNGACCGGCCACACUGGGACUGAGNACACGGCCCAGACUCCUACGGGAGGCAGCAGUGGGGAAUAUUGCACAAUGGGCGAAAGCCUGAUGCAGCGACGCCGCGUGAGGGAUGACGGCCUUCGGGUUGUAAACCUCUUUCAGCAGGGAAGAAGCGCAAGUGACGGUACCUGCAGAAGAAGCACCGGCUAACUACGUGCCAGCAGCCGCGGUAAUACGUAGGGUGCGAGCGUUGUCCGGAAUUAUUGGGCGUAAAGAGCUCGUAGGCGGCUUGUCACGUCGGAUGUGAAAGCCCGGGGCUUAACUCCNGGUCUGCAUUCGAUACGGGCAGGCUAGAGUGUGGUAGGGGAGAUCGGAAUUCCUGGUGUAGCGGUGAAAUGCGCAGAUAUCAGGAGGAACACCGGUGGCGAAGGCGGAUCUCUGGGCCAUUACUGACGCUGAGGAGCGAAAGCGUGGGGAGCGAACAGGAUUAGAUACCCUGGUAGUCCACGCCGUAAACGUUGGGAACUAGGUGUGGGUCACAUUCCACGUGGUCCNNGCCNCANCUAANGCAUUAANUUCCC